rnacentral:misc_RNA from 1 species
UCUCCGUUGGUGAACCAGCGGAGGGAUCAUUACCGAGUUAUCAACUCCCAAACCCCUGUGAACAUACCCAACGUUGCUUCGGCGAGACCGCCCCGGCGCCCUCGGCGUCCCGGAACCAGGCGCCCGCCGGAGGACCCAAACUCUUGUUUAAACCAUAGUGGCAUAUUCUGAGUCUCACAAGAAAAAUGAAUCAAAACUUUCAACAACGGAUCUCUUGGCUCUGGUAUCGAUGAAGAACGCAGC